CUCCCUGAUCAAGAACUUCAGAUAUAAAUUGUGUCUUACAUGUCAGAUUUAUAGUGGUGGAUCGCCCAUGUAUAAAACUGUGUUGUUCAGGCCUUUAUGUUUGAGAGCUGUCUGGGUCUAGCUGUUACAGAAUGGGGAAGCAAAACUUGUGAAAAAUUGGAUCCUGAUUAUUUUAAAUGUUGGCAGGGCCUAAGAAAAAAUUUCAAAGGAUCUAAAUAAAACCCAUGCGACAUAUUAAAUAUUUUUCAGAUUAACCACAAGAGAACAGGAUUUUUCUCAUUACGGUCUUAGAAUUUUGGAAAUGCGAACAUAAAUUCAUUCCUAUAAAUGGUUCGAAAGUCAUUAUCAAAAUAAGUUUUAAUGAAAAUUACAAAAUCACCUUGUAUGUCUCCAAAUUAACCCAAGACUUUUUUUGAGUUACUCUGUACUCAUUUAGGUUGCUCAAUCUGUAUUACAGUAUGUUCAGUUGAAACACUUUGUAUACACUGCGUUUCACUUUUCAUAUUUCGGUUAUUUGAAUUGAUACGUUUUGAUAUUGUAUUACGAAAUAAUUGCCUGCAAUACGAUUAUUCUAAUAUAACCAAAUUCGAUUUUAGUUACAGUCGUCCGAUUCUACAAUUUAAAAAAUAUAUACUAGCAAGCUAUAAUCUGUCUGUAUCUAAUCUAAUCUAUUAGUAAUAUAUUAUAAUUUAGUAUACCUAGAAACUCCUCUACACCGAAUUUGAAAAAAAAAAUACAUGUUUAAAAAUGCUCAUGACAUGGAUACUCAAACAUUUAGGUUUUUUUCUUUAAUAUAACCGUUAAUUUAGAAGCUAACAAAGUUAGAUCAUCUUUUCCUUUUACUUUUUGUUUUAUAAUAAUAUAAAGUUGUUAUAGAAUUAUCGUGAAAACUUUUUUAAAACGUAAAAUUAGACAAAUAUAUGGCGAAAUUACUAAAUAAGAAAUAAAAAAAGAAAUGAAAUGGUUAAAAAUGCAUAGAAAAAGGAAAUUUGUUAAUUAAAUUUACCCUACAUCCAUGGCGUAGCCAAGAAUUUUCGAAGGGGGGGGGAGGUGCAAGAGCCAGUUUAUUGAACCAAGGUAUGUUAGGUAAAAUCAUGAUAUCAAGAAUCCAUAUAUUAUGUACCUACGAGUAUAUUAAAAAGCUGUAGGUGUGUGCCAUAUCAAACAUAUCAAAAGCUUUCCUCGCGAGCCGCUAUUAUGACAAAACUGAAAUUAAUCGGCGAAAAAAUUAUGUGUUUAAUUUGACAGAAAAGUAGCAUUAUAUCUUGUACUUACUGCCUGGUUAAAACAAAUAACUAUUUACGUCCUGGAUGUAAAAGUCUUUUACGUUCUGUAGAGAAAAAAACUGGUGUUAUGACACUUAAUAAAUGUCAUGCGAAAGUUAACUAUUAAUGACAGUUUUCGAAAAAUGUAAUUUUUUAAAGUUGCAGCAUGUAGCAAGAAUUAGGCCCCCCUGACCCCCCUGGCUACAGCCAUGCCUACAUCUCUUCUCAAACUGAAAUUUACUCUGAAAUGAAAUCAUCUGAGAACGUUGAAAUAGAGGGAACUGAGAUAUCCCUUCUUACACGUUUUUAACGUUUUAUAUAAUUACGUGAGCAUAUUUGUCUUUAACCAAUACAAUAAUCUUUUAUUUACUACUCAAAAAUAAAAAAAUUGUCUAUGUAAAAUUUCAUGAGCUGAAAAUAUUCGAUUAUUUUAGUUUUUAAUUAUUAUUAUACAAAUAUAGGUAUUAAUUUUGUUAAGUAUGUACCUAGCAGUAGGAAAAUACACUUAAUUUUUUAUUAAAA